UUCUCCCUUCAUCUCCAAUAGGAAACUAAAGUCAGACUUGGGUCUCGAUGUCAGACGUGAACAUCCACUAGAUGAAUUCAGUGGAUGCUCAUGUAUUGCUCUGUGAUGCAGGGCAGAGCCAUACCAGGGCACUUUGAUCAAGCUUUAAUUUAGUGGUUAGGGCAGUUUCUUUGAAAAUAGGGGAUGAACACCUUUUAUCUUAGGAGAACAUAUCAACCAAGUCUCCCAGGAUCUGAUGAUAUACUUUAGUUGCUCUACCACCAUUUAAAGCAGGGCCACUGACAGUUUUUCCAUCAAUGCUGAAAGUGUGCAGUAUUUCUUCUCACAGGAAAGAAACAGAUAAUCUACCUCACUGCCUGUGUGGUGGAAAGUCCCACCAUUCAUGAGCUGUGGCUGUUUUUUCUUGGAUUUCAAAGAAAUAGAGUUGUGAGGUGUGAUAUAUUUCUAUAUGAUUGAACCUGUGUUAGUUAUUCAACUGUCCCUCAUCAAAAAUGUAGAAAAACCCCUAGAAAUUUUGUGAUCAAAUUAGUUAUCUCCAAUUAUUGAGUUACAGGUUCAGAACUAUUAGAAUACAGUUACACCCAUUAGACACAUGGCACAGAACAUCAAUGAGUUUGGCUGCCAAAACCUGUGUUUUUAUCAAAGUGAUUUACCCAGUAAUUCUGUACCUGCUAGGUGUGUGCAUGCAGGUAUUGUAAGCAGUAAGGAGACAAAAGACUGAAAAAUGCAGUUAUUUUUUUCAGGUGCCAUAGAACAGACAAUCCCAAUAAUUAGGAAAAAAAAGGAAAAGGGCACUGUAGAAAGUGAGAUUUCUUGGACAUAGAUAUUACUGUAUUCCAAGUGGAGAAUACAGGUAAUUUGUACCUGCAGUAUAUUCAAUUAUUGGGACAGGAGGAUUUGCAUCAAAGGAGCUUGUGCUACUGAAAUGUCAUUGCAUGUUCUACAAAAGAGUUUACAAUUUAAAAUGUAAACAGAUCUAGAAUUUCAUAUUUUCAGAUAACCAAAAUCAGCUUCUAAAGUCAAAUCUGCUGAUCAGAAAAAGCCCAAAGUAAAGCAAGAGACAUGUGGAGAAUAAGGAGGCAGAGGUCAGCAAUGUGGCAGCUCCUGGGCAGAUGGGAAAGUUGGUUUUGUAGUGGUGAGUUGGUUUGAAUGUGACAAGAGAAAUCCUUCUCCCCUGCAUGUUAGGAAAGAAAAAGAGUAUUUUAAAAUCUGAAAAGGAUACCUGUAGCAAGGCAGAAAUAUCCUUCAGGAAAAAAAAAAAGAAAAAAAGAAAAUAAAAAAAAAGAAAGAAAAUAAGAUUUCUUUAAAUAUAACAAAUGUAAUGAGAUUUUUCUUUCAGUCCAAGGUUGUUAUUUCUCAGAUAAUCUUCAUUGUUUCUAUUGGACGGUGGAACAUAUUUUUCAAGUGCUAUGCUGUUUACAAAGUUUAAGAAACCUAGUUAGAGAACAAAACUUUUAUUGUCUGACUAGUAGAAUCAGUCACAUGGCUGGAAAAGUGAAUUCCAAAUGUUAAAUCCACAAAUGAAUGAAGAACAGCUCAUGUGCAUCCACUUAUAUUUGUUUUGUUUAUAAGCAUUGAAAGCUAAAUUACUAUGAGGGGUUCACAAAAAUUAUGUCUUGCAAACAGCCUAAAUGUGAAAAUUGCGCCAGUUUCUUGUGAAUGCAAUUUAAUAGAUUUGAGUGUAAGAAACAUAUAUUCUCUAUUUACAUAUAUAUAUUUUGAAAUGCAUUAGUUUUUACAAAAAAAUGUAUAUUUUUUUAUUGUUCACAUGCAGUUGGGAAAUCCUGAGUAAAGACUGAUGACUGUCUCUUCUAUCUUGCAUCCGAUCUAGAGGCCUUCCUUGUGCAAAAAAGUGUAAAACACUGCCACACUGAUACAAACAUAAAUGACGAUGUUAGACAGAAAGGAAUGCCCAAAAGAGUGGUGGUUGUACUAACAAUGGUAGGCCUUGGGUCAAACCAAGCUUUAUUUUUAAAGCUAUGACUUGCAACCCAAGUUGCUUAAUUACUUAUGAGCCCUCUAUUGAAACUCCAGUAGUUGUAAUGAGAUAACUAAAUACCAACACUAGCGUCAUUAAAUCCAACACCAAAUUUUCCCAUCACCUGUCUCACAGAUCUAAAAGAAAAUUAUGUCAGUACAUGGGAUUUCAUUCAUUUGACUGUCAUCUUCCAUGCUAGCAAGUUACCAAAACUGAAUAAGAAUGAAACAAUUUGUAGAUGAGAACUCAGCAGGAAAGGACAAUGCUCUGCAGUGAGAAUGAAUCUGGAUAAUCAGCUUUAUCAUUGCUAUCGAUAUGUGUCAGUAGGCUGUCAUUACUCAUGCCACUAUUAAAAAAGAAUCAAUUUUACUGCAAAAAAUAAUCCCUCCAGACAGAAACUUCACAAACUUUUAAAGAUAUUUCUUCUUUCAUCUGAAAUGUUUGGGCAGAGGAUUGUUCACUUUAGUAUUUAAAUAGAAAAAAUACUGAUGCGUUAAUUUCUGCUGAUUUGGUACAACAGCAGUAUCUGCUGCAGUGUUGUUUGCAAAUUCAUCAUCCAUCUGUUGGGUUUUUUUCCUAAGGAAGCAGAAAACAUUGUGCUUUUUGUUCAAGAAUAUGAUUCUUACAUUAGCAUAAACAUUGUUUCUUCUUCAAGGUCUGCAGCAAAUGUAUGCAUGAAGUCUGUGAUGUGAUGUACAGCAGAAGUUUCUUGGCUGGUGGUUGGGCUCUGGCAGUGGUCACACAGCCACAUUUAAAAUGAGGAGCACAUUGGAUGUUGUCAGGUUGGCUUCACCAUGCUUGAGAGACCUCUCCACUGAUGUGGAUUCUACAUGUGCAUGUGGAGAGAGUAAAUUUCACUUAGAGUGAAUAAGACUCUGGAAUUAUUUUUCUCCUACAGUUUUGUGUACUCUCCAGAGUGUGCUCCCUCCUUUAGCUAAUAUUUGCAGUAACUUUAUAUGUUAAAACAAGGCUAUGCAGUAGCUGUUGGUAGCUUAAUCUUGUGGCUACGAAAUUAACCUUUGACCUUUCUCAGCCUCAUCAGGAAAUUGAUUUCAGGAGCUAUUCCUUAACCCAGGAUAUGUGGUUAAACAUCACUAAUAGGAAGUCUAGUAACAGGAAACGUGUGAAUGCUAAUCCAUACAAACAUAAACAAACCUUUGGCUUACACACAGUUUUAUUGGAAUUUUCCUCUUCACUCCCUUUCCUCCAAUAAGCCAGAAAAAAUUACAAGCAGCUUGUUAAACUCUUUGAAAAAACUUGAAGGUUUUUUUUUUUUUUUGCUGGCUUUAGGUUUAUUAAAUUUCUGCUAAAGGAGAUUCACUUGGGUAGAAUUUUGUGAAGAAUUGUCUCAGGACAGGUACAUGCAAUUCAUCUUCACUGCAGUUCUGGUCAAUGAGGCCACUCUAGAGUCCUGAUCAAAUUUUUAGGCAAAGUACUAAGUGGGAAAAUUUCUUUUUGUGUAACAGGAUUGGGAGAUUUAGAGAAAAGAGGCUUACAAAAAAAUCUCUUUCCAUAAGGUAAUUUUGAAAUAUAUUAUGAAAAAAUAUUGUCAGAAAGUCACUGAAAUGAAUAUAAUUUCAGGACCAAAAAGUAACACUGAGAAUUUGAAACAUUUUUAUUAUUUUCAUUGAAUUCCAGCUACAUUUCACUAUCAAAACAGGCUGGUGGAACUUGCAGCUAAACACAAGCCAGUUAAUCACCACAUAAGGCCUUUCCAAGGCCUUACCUUGGAAACCUGUGACUUGUGCUUCUUUCUUCAUACUAAAUUAACAAAACCUUCAUCUUCAUAUGAGCUCCACUGAGUUCAGUGGGAUAUUGUGCAUGGCCAUUGACACAGAUCAGCUUUCAGGAUUAGGGCCAAAGUAACUUUUCUAGGAGGGGUUUCCUUGAAGUCAGAGGAGGAUUUUAUGGAAAAAAAAAGUCUAGUCUGACAAAAUUCUUUCUCAAAACAGGAAAGAACAAGAUACCUGUAAAACAGUAGCUUACAAUCUCUGUAUCUCCUCUUUUGUUCUGCCCAAGUUGAGUAAAUCAGUGAUAUUCAUAAAAUAAACUCAGGCAAAGCAUUUACUAUGCAUAUAAAAGCACAGGAUAUGUAUGGCAUUAGAAUAGUGUCAUAAUGAUAUGUGUUGACUUAUUUACAAAAUUGGCUAACCCACAAGGCAAUUCGUGGCUUUACUUUGCAGAUAAUUUUUUUUCCUAAGGGAAUAUUUUCAAAAGAGUUCUUAAGAUGUACUAUUAUGUUAACUUCAAUAAAAAUGUUAUUGCAUGUAAAAUGAAUAUCUGAUGACUAUCUAAAAUGUGUUUAAUGAUUAACAGCUGUGAAGUAAACUGUAAAUAUAUCGGUGCAGCCUUGUUAAAUAAACUUGGGAUUAAUUCAAUUUGCCUUGAUACAGUGUCUCCUCUAGAGAUCAUAAAAACUUCUCUUUGGGGUUUGAAGGUUCUUUGAGUAUUUGGUUGACUUUCCAUUUUUUGAGCCCUGUUUGCAGAUUGAUGUGUUGUAGUCAUUCACUCCACUGUAGUCCAAAAGCUCUUUGCUUCCAAUAACCAGGCAAACUUGUAAAAUUAAUUUUGAUCACAGCCUCAUUAAACACAUGUUUUGCAAAUUGAGAGUAAUGAGUGAGGAAUAUGCAGUCUGCAAGAGCCCUCCCACUUAAAUGUAAUAAUGUUAAAAACUGAAGAAAAAGUUGCUAUGCAGAGGCAUGACAAUAUUUAUACAAGCAACUCUUAUGACCCGAUUCUCUCAUUAGUCUGGUGCUCUUGGAAUCAUUCCUGAAUUCAAUAAAUUGAAAUAUAACUCCAGAUUUGGUCAUGGGCCUGGACAACUCUUUGUAGGUGACCCUGUUUGAACAGUGGAGUUAGACUGGAUGACCUCAAGAGGUUCCUCCCAACCUCAACCAUUCUGUAGUUCUGAAUGAGUGCUGUAUUUGCUUUCCAGACUUUAGUGGGCAGUGCAUCAAUUGAAGGAUUGAUCAAAUGAAGGCUAUAUCAGUAGAGUAUGUUGUUUGAGCAGCCACUUAUUGAUCAUGUGAAAUAAAACAGUUUCCAAAACUUGAGUGGAAAUGGAAAUGUUAAGUAGAAGAAUAUGCAAUGUGUGGCUGUGGGGCUGCUAGUUUUAGUCUUUCUGUCAUUACUUCAGAUUUAUGUAAUAGAAUGAGUUCACUACACACCUAAUCCUAAAACUGUAAAUUUAAAUCUCAUUUAGUUCCAAAUUAUAUUAAUUUUGGUGUUCUUAGAUCUGGUACUAGAAGAUUCAGUGUACUGUUAACUUGUCCUCCAUCUUUAAAGAAGAUUGUAAGAAAUACAGUGAUUGCUUAUAUUAUAUUUUGUGUAUAGGAUGUCAGCCUCUAAAGACAGUAGUCAAGAAAAUACUUUUACAGAAAAAUCCAAUCAAUAAUCUAGUUUAAUUGUUAGACUCUUCAAAGUUUUUAUCCAUCAUAAUUCACAAAACUGAAGCCUUGACAAAUGCAAAACAGCAUUUUUUGAAAUGUUACUCUAGUGCAUGCUUAAGUAAGCAGUGGGCUCUAAACAAACUUUUUCAUAUCAGGAGUGUCCUAAAGCCAAAGUCUGUGGCUCAGUCCUCUUUCUAUCCUGUAUGGACACCUACUUCUUCAGCUGUGGUCUAUUUCACACAUGCAGGGAAUCCAUUUAGAAUUAAAGGCAGUUAAGGUUCAUUAAUUUCAAGCUGUUGUUAUGAUCGCACAUGCUACACAAUAUUUGAACUAGUUUGAUUAAAUGUGUGUAUGUGAUGACUUAUUGCAGGUUUACAGUUUUAGUUUGAUGAAGGAAAAGCAGCAUUUUGUUGUGUUCCAACAGGGCUAAAAAGUGUUAUAAAUAUUUCUUAUCAGAGCAUUUUGGUGAUAGCCAGCAGUAAAUGCAUGUGAACAUUUUAACAAAAUGUUCCAUCUUUCUUAACAAAAUCAAUGCAACCCAAAAACUGUCUUUUGGUUUUGGAUACAGCAAAUUCUGUUCAACAUUAUCAUCACAAUGCAAAUAAGUUUGGAGCUCCUUGGCCACACCAGUAUGGUGGGAGAGACCUAUCAAAACCCAGGAAUAUCUUAGGAGCUCUGAAGUGGAUGGUGGCUCCACACCAUAAUAAGAGAUAAUAAUCUCUUCCACAUUGCUAAUCACUUCCUGAUGGCUGAAGGUCUACACUGCAUGUAUUUGACAGCUGUUUAAAAUAUACAGAGCCCCUGAAGUUGCACUUGUAAAAUAAAGUGAAAAGAUUUUGAAGCCAGAAACUGGGAGCAGAAACUAAAAUUGUCUGCUGCUUUUCAUUCUGCCUUAGUCUCUGAAAUUUAUUUUUAAAGUAAGUAGCUUAAAUUUCGGGGCAUGGUAUUUCGUCAACCCAAAAUAUUUUGCCACAACUCCCUUAAUUUCCAAGCUCUUGUGGUUGAACUCAGAGUCUCUGUGUUUCAUUUGUACAUCUCUUGGUGGUUUAAUAUGUUUUCUCCUCUUCCAGAUAUAUUUGAGGCAUCUCUGUGCUGAGCUCUCUCAUCUGAAAGAGGCUGACAGCAUAUGAAGGCAGAGAAGGAAAGAGCUGAAACUGCUCCUACAGUUUUCUAGCUUAGUCCCCUCUAUAAUUUCCUUUUCAGAGUUUAACUCAGGAUUUGCCAAUAAUUGACCAUGAGUUCAAUUUUGUUUGAUUGAACCUCUUUUUGCAGUUUCCUAAGCUUGCUAUUGUUGACUUGAUUAUGUAUCAUGUAAGGAAUUUAAUUUCUUGGAAUUAAGCUGAUUCUUGAUUUUGUCAAUAGUAAAUCUCCAUCAAGUUAGAUCUAUUUUUAAACUCAAUCUGACCAGUAGUUGCCUUUAACAAGAGAUUAAAUGUACAGAGUACCUGAAGUAAUGAAUGUGCUUUUAAUUUGCUUCCAAAGUUGCUAUGAAAUUACUUCAGGUUGCUGUAAUUAACCUGUAGCCAUUUCUUCUGUCUUCUGUAGCUUUGUAAAAAAAAUAAGCAGUUAGAUCCCCCUGUGGUUCUCCUCCAGCAUCUGCUGCUUUUCUGUGUUUCUGCUUGGUUCCACAGCUGGGAUCCCUGUAGCUUUCCUGCCAUCAAACAUGGUGCUGUUCCAGAAAGCAUCUUUUAGUUCUGUGGUUCUUCCUGUUAAUCUGCAGGUUUGUAGGUGUGGAAGAGGAAUUAUUAAAUUAUUUAUAUUGGAAAUAAUAUAUCUUAUUUCUCUCCUACUUUAAUUUGGGAUGUAAGUGAAGCACUGGUUUAAAAGGGGAUGAAGCUAAAAGCAAGGUUCCGUGACCUAAUUGGGUUACGCAUAUUUUGAAAUUGUCUACAAGGAAGCAAUAAUUUUCUAAGGGUUAUAAUUCUUUCAGUGAAUGAAAGAGUCAUUUCAUGACAAAUACUAUUAUACUUCACAGGUAGAGGGAAGAGGUGAAAGUGAAGCCGCUGCUUGUGCUAAAAAUUGAAAGUCACCCUACCAGUGUUCUUUACUUUCAGAGUAAAACUGACAAGUCUGAAAUAUCUAGUUCAAAUGUUUGCCAUUGACUAGCAGGCAUUUGUUUCUAAAGCUGGUAGAAGCAGUUUUCAUUCUUUCUGCCUUCUCAGUGAUUGAUCUGUUUCUUUCUGGUUUUCUUUCAGAGAACUUAAUUGCAUGAUUUUUUUAAAAAAACAAGCACAUCAAAUGUCACAACAUUAGCUUAAUUAUAAAAAUGUCAAGCAUUCAGUGCAUUUGCAAUAUACCAGAGCUUACUAGAGAACAUAUUUUUUCAUUUGAUGAAUGAACAUGGAACAUGCCUUUGAAUGGGCAUCUCCUUAAGAGGUGACUAGUGGUUGCUGCAGAUUAUUCCCAUUAGGGAAAAGAACAGUUUUUCCCUAAAGUAGAAUAAAAUUGGUCCUUAAAAGUAGUAGAUCCUAAAGGAAAAGACAGAUUUAAAAGGUCAUCUAAGAAAAAGAAGUGUUACUGAUUUCUAUCAGUAGAAGUAUUUGGGUGGGAAGGGGCCUUAAAGAAUAUCUAGUUCCACCCUCCCUGCCAUGGGCAGGGACAUAUCCCACCACAUCAGGUUGUUCAAAGCCCCAUCCAACUGGGCCUGAUGCUGUGUUGUGUCCUGUGCAGAUUUUUGUGUCUGGCUGGCCGUAUUGAUCUCUAGCUGUGAGAACCUGGAAAGCUCCACCACAAAUUUUGGUGCCUGUCAUAAUCUGGAUUCUGCCAUCUGUGUCACGGGAAUAAAAAUUAAGUGUCCCUGCUUGGUUCACUCUCCUGGCUGUGAUACAUCUGAAACAAUUUCGGCUGGUGCUGGUGUGGUGGCACCAGGUCACACUCCCUGGAUAUGGGCUGCAAGAAAUGGGUCACUUCAGCAGAAGCUGCCAUAGGGCCCUCAGGGGAUAGACACCACUGGAUACCUUUCUGAACCUCACGGCAUAUUUGAUGUUCAUUGACAGAGGUCAUGUGAACCCGCACAUUCCUCUCCAGGAGCAGAAAGGAGAUCACAGUGGAUUCAGUCUGCAAACUGUCUGUGAAUGAAGGGGAGAGAUGUGCCCACCACAUGGACCUGCUGCAAGAGGACAUUUUGCCCAUGUACUGUAAGCUGAGGCCUAACUCUGGACUUACUCUUUUCCUGUGGUUGAAUCCAUAGGGAAUUGGACUGUAAUAAUGGCAGCAGAUUGUAUAUUUUCUUGUCUUUGUGUGGUUUGUCAGCAGGCCAAUGAUAGCAGUUUUCAGAGCAAUAAGGAUUACCUGUCUAUUAUAUUUCUCUUUCCCCACUUACUCCUCUCCCCAAGCCGAAUUAUAUUUUUUCAAACAGUUGGGAUUUCUUGCGCAAGUUAACUUGCUGGAGCCUGUGCAAACCUGGGUUCUGGUUGUUCCAGUGGAGCACUGUCAAGUCUAUGCAGAGCCACAGUUUUCUAGUUUCUUUUCAAAUAUCUGAUUCCAAGCAGGCUGAAUCUGUAUCUCCUGGAAGUUGGUAUUCCCCCUGUAAUAUUUCUGUGCACCCUUAUCUGAUGGAUCAUUCUGAAGACCAACAGCAGUAGCUCUUAUUCUAUAGGUGGUGGUUGCAAAUUCCUGAAGUGGGGAAGGGUGUUUUGAAAAUUUUAUCCAAAACCUGGAUUUUUUUAUUUUUUUUCAUUUUUUUAAUGGUUCUGUUAUAUUUAUAUAUUGCUCUGAAACAUUUGCAUCUUCUUUUAAAGUUGUUUUCAUUUGAGGUCUUCAGUAGAGGAGCUAACUUUAGAUUUGUAGUUAUAGUUUUUUUCCCUCAUAAGAGUCUACUAAAUAGAAAGCACUUUUCUACAGGAUAUUGUUCUGGUUUGGAUUCCACCUUUUUUUCUUCCUUAGGAGUGUUAAAAAGAUGCCACUUAAUUUGAACAGUAGCAAACCUCAGCCCCAAACAGAGAAAUAUGCAGUCUUUCUCCAGACAUGUUGGGACAUCCCCCUGCAGCUGUAAUGGGUUAUCAGCACAUCUCCACCCUUUCACCAGAUGCAACCUCUUAGAGGCAACUUUGUCUUCAGACUUCAGUUGUAUAUCAUCUGAUCUCAACCAGUGUCAAAAGACCCAGGAGCUCUCUGCCUGUCUGCUGGAACAUUGAUCCACUCACCACAACUAUUUACAAGAUGUGAAGUCUUUCCUUCCCUUGCACUCUCUUUCUCUCUUAAAAAUAAAAUAAAAAAAAAGCUGUCAGUAUUUCAGAAAGUGUGAGCAGCAGAUCUUUGUGUACUUUAAUCCAUAAAUAAACAUGUCUUCUUUUGAACUUCAUUAAAAUUGGAUGUGUUUUCACUGUAAAACACUUCAGCAUCCCUAUCAUUUAGACAUAUUUGGUGAUGAAUAUUGCAAUUAAGUUUUGUCUGUAGGAAUAAUUGUUGUCUAGAAAUACUCAAUUUAUGCCAAAAAAGUAAAUAAGAAUCAGACUACAAGACAUACUGCUUAUAACAGUAAUUUUAGAUGUUAAGCUAUGCUCCUACUCUUUUAACAGGUUGGGCCAAAUGCUUCUUUGUUUUUAUGACCAUGUUUGCAGGGAAUUUGUGGAGAUGUGAGUUUGGUUUGGCUUCUGCACAAUUAUAUCUGAGUUUCUUCUGGUAAAACUUGUUGAUGUAUCACAGUCAAAUCUCCAGAAGCUUUGCCUUCUCUGCAUUUGACCUGAAGAAAGGAAUUCCUGCUUUAAAAUGCUCAUCAAUCAGUGCUGUGUAGUUAAGCUGAUAACAAAGCUAAGGCUAAGCCAGUGUUAAUUUAGCCAACUGUUACAUUACUGACAAUAUUUGUCAGCAAAUGAUUUUAAUUAGACCGGCAUAAUGAGAUAAGUAGGCUAAAACUAAGCAAAUUACUAAAACUAAAGAGGGAUUCUGAUGACAAACAAGUCCUGAUGAGAGUAAGAAUUAAUUUUUUUUUUUUGCCACCAGUGUCUGAGCAGCAUGUGGGAACGGAGAGACAGCACAAAUCACAUCAGAAAUCACUUAAAAAUGAUGCUGGUGUGCUGGAAUGCUGAGCUGGUGUCAGGAAGGCUUGCAGAGUUUGAGCAAGUGCUGUGUAAACAUCCUGAGCAGCCUCGCAUGCCCGUGACACUUCCCCCGGCCCGGCGGGGCUCGUUUGUGUGCCUGCCUUAGCGGCUCGCAUGGAGCAGGACAGGGAAGGUUUGUGUGGAACAGGGCAGGGAAGGUUUGUGGAAGGCUGAAGAGGCAGCACAUCUCACAGCUUGUGCUGUGAGAUAGUGCAGUGGAAGGCAGGUGCAAUAGGACCUGAAGUUUGUGGCUGUAAUUAAGAAUGGGUAGGGAAAAAUAAUGGGAAGGGUAGGCAGGGAAAAAUACAGUAUUUGAAAAAGAAGAAUGGAGAGUCAAAAAGAAAAGCAUUGUUUGGUGUUUGAACAAGGAUAUGUUUGGGGUGAAUAACCUGCUGCUCUAU